rnacentral:ncRNA from 1 species
AGUAGUUAUAUGCUUGUCUCAAAGAUUAAGCCAUGCAUGUCUAAGUACACACGAAUUAAAAGUGAAACCGCAAAAGGCUCAUUAUAUCAGUUAUGGUUCCUUAGAUCGUUAACAGUUACUUGGAUAACUGUGGUAAUUCUAGAGCUAAUACAUGCAAUUAAAACAUGAACCUUAUGGGACAUGUGCUUUUAUUAGGCUAAAACCAAGCGAUCGCAAGAUCGUUAUAUUGGUUGAACUCUAGAUAACAUGCAGAUCGUAUGGUCUUGUACCGACGACAGAUCUUUCAAAUGUCUGCCCUAUCAACUUUUGAUGGUAGUAUCUAGGACUACCAUGGUUGCAACGGGUAACGGGGAAUCAGGGUUCGAUUCCGGAGAGGGAGCCUGAGAAACGGCUACCACAUCUAAGGAAGGCAGCAGGCGCGUAAAUUACCCACUCCCAGCUCGGGGAGGUAGUGACGAAAAAUAACAAUACAGGACUCAUAUCCGAGGCCCUGUAAUUGGAAUGAGUACACUUUAAAUCCUUUAACAAGGACCAAUUGGAGGGCAAGUCUGGUGCCAGCAGCCGCGGUAAUUCCAGCUCCAAUAGCGUAUAUUAAAGUUGUUGCGGUUAAAACGUUCGUAGUUGAACUUGUGCUUCAUACGGGUAGUACAACUUACAAUUGUGGUUAGUACUAUACCUUUAUGUAUGUAAGCGUAUUACCGGUGGAGUUCUUAUAUGUGAUUAAAUACUUGUAUUUUUUCAUAUGUUCCUCCUAUUUAAAAACCUGCACUAGUGCUCUUAAACGAGUGUUAUUGUGGGCCGGUACUAUUACUUUGAACAAUUAGAGUGCUUAAAGCAGGCUUCAAAUGCCUGAAUAUUCUGUGCAUGGGAUAAUGAAAUAAGACCUCUGUUCUGCUUUCAUUGGUUUUCAGAUCAAGAGGUAAUGAUUAAUAGAAGCAGUUUGGGGGCAUUAGUAUUACGACGCGAGAGGUGAAAUUCUUGGACCGUCGUAAGACUAACUUAAGCGAAAGCAUUUGCCAAAGAUGUUUUCAUUAAUCAAGAACGAAAGUUAGAGGUUCGAAGGCGAUCAGAUACCGCCCUAGUUCUAACCAUAAACGAUGCCAGCUAGCAAUUGGGUGUAGCUACUUUUAUGGCUCUCUCAGUCGCUUCCCGGGAAACCAAAGCUUUUGGGCUCCGGGGGAAGUAUGGUUGCAAAGCUGAAACUUAAAGGAAUUGACGGAAGGGCACCACCAGGAGUGGAGCCUGCGGCUUAAUUUGACUCAACACGGGAAAACUUACCAGGUCCGAACAUAAGUGUGUAAGACAGAUUGAUAGCUCUUUCUCGAAUCUAUGGGUGGUGGUGCAUGGACGUUCUUAGUUCGUGGAGUGAUUUGUCUGGUUAAUUCCGCUCAACGAACGAGACUCAAAUAUAUUAAAUAGAUAUCUUCAGG